CCUGCAGUAUCUUGCAUGAGAAGAAGGUUUUCAUAUAGAGAUAUAAAACCACAGAACAUUUUUCUGACUGAGGAUGGCUACAUCAAUCUGGGAGAUUUUGGAUGCUCAAAAGCAAUGCAAAGAGCUGAUGCAUAUGCAGAAUCAGUUGUGGGGUGCAGAUCUCUAUGUCAGCCCAGAGGUU